AAUCAACGCUGGCGGCGUGCCUAACACAUGCAAGUCGAACGCGAAAGGGGAGCAAUCCCUGAUUAGAGUGGCAAACGGGUGAGUAACACGUGGGUGACCUGCCUUCGAGUGGGGGAUAACCUUCCGAAAGGAGGGCUAAUACCGCAUGACAUACCGUGUUUGGAUACACGGAUAUCAAAGCCGGGGAUCGCAAGACCUGGCGCUUGAAGAGGGGCCCGCGUCCGAUUAGCUAGUUGGUGGGGAACGGCUCACCAAGGCUCCGAUCGGUAUCCGGCCUGAGAGGGCGGACGGGACACACUGGAACUGAGACACGGUCCAGACUCCUACGGGAGGCAGCAGUGGGGAAUUGUUCGCAAUGGGCGAAAGCCUGACGACGCAACGCCGCGUGGAGGAUGAAGAAUUUCGGUUCGUAAACUCCUUUCGACCGAGAUGAAUACCCAUGGGCUUAAUACGCCUGUGGGCUGACAGUAUCGAG
rnacentral:rRNA from 1 species